AGUAACAUGACAAUUAUUUGUAGGACCCAUAUUCAUCAUGUGUGGAAGAGCCAGAUGUCUGUGAAGAAAUGUCUUGUGAACAGUCGCCUGUUCGGAUCAGUUAUCCUGAAUCACAUUUUGAUAAUGUGUAUUCGCAGUCAUCACAGACAUCUGAGACGGUUGUAUUUCGGCCAACAGAACAUAAGGGAUUCACUGUCAAACCACAGGGAAAGGACUCUCCUAUCCUAAGUACAAGGCUGGACACCAUGUGGUUAAAGCAGUUAAAGAGAAUUGCACUUAUGACUAUGUUGAUGAACUAAUGGCAGAGCUGCUUAGGAUGAAAGAGGAGUACAAGAGCGAUGCCAAUGCAAGGGCUGCCUCUGGCAACAUUCUGUUUUCACCGCCACCCGUCUUCAUCUGCAAACAGAAUCCUGAAGUCAGAGGCUGUGCAGAACCAUCGUUCGCGAUUUAAUUAGCGAACAGGGAUGGAAAUUAGUGGUUGCCCGUUUUGUUGUAUAGUUAUCUAUUACUUUUAAAGAAAGUAUUGGUUACACAUGACACUACAUGUACAUAGUACUGGGCGCGUUGAGGCUUACGAUGGGAAACCAAAAAACUAUAGAUGGUUGUCCAUGUGGGCAACCAACUGUAAAACGUUAGUUUCCAUCCCUGGCGAAGCAAAAUCAAAUGUAUGAGUCGGACGGAAA